rnacentral:lncRNA from 1 species
UGUUUUCAUAAUCCUAGCUAAAAAAUGUAUUUAUAUUAUAAGUAUUGAAUGCUUCUUUUUGUAACUUCAUAGGGUUGUAAAAGCGUUGACCGUGUGCUUCUUACAAAAUGUACUUCGGUCAACGCUUUUACACCCCAAUGAAGUUACAAAAAAAAAGCAUUCAGUACUUAAAAUAAAUAUGAACAAGGACAUCCUGUGUUAUGCAAAGAUGUGUAUUUCGGCACAAGCGAUGACCUAUAGACCGUGUGUAUCAUAUGUAUAUUUAGUGUGGGUUGCUCCGAAUUAAGAAGGUAUAAAUACAGGAAAAUAAAAAAAAAAUUACAAAAUUAGAUUAGAGUAUAACGGGCAAAAUUAAGAACAGAGGAACAUGGUAUAAGAAAAUUCAAGAAUAGAGGG